AAACACCACAUAAAAUAGAAGGCCAAUGUUGAUCAUAGUACCAACAACGGCUGGUCUUUCACAAGCACCACAUUAAAGUUUUCCGGGGUCGGUGUAACGGAACAUCGCAUCGCAAGCAAUACGACACAACAAAAGGGACGAUGGACCUAGGAAGAAGCAUCACCAUCUAACACACGUCGAGACGUCCAUUCGCUAGACCAUCAAUGCGAGAGCACAUCUAACCAACACACCGUGGUUCUGCAAUAACACAAGUUCAAGUAAGAGCCAAAUCGUGUACAACACAGGAGGCAACCGGCGAAAUAAAAGGUACUAGCUGACACACCAAAAUAAUGAUCCGCCUAGGGCCGUUUGGACUAUAGCUUGGCCCUUUUAGUCGCGGACGUCUCGUCUUCAUCCGCCGCCAGGCUUUCAGUUGAUUUGCUUCAAGAACAAAUAACAAUUAUGUACAAGAAGUAGAAAAAUGAUGCAUAUAUUGUUAAAUACUCGUAUCAACCCACACCUAGAUACCUCAACGUAGCAGCAAGCUCACCACCGAGACCAGCAGAGCGUCAUCCAGUUAUUCGAGCCCCUAGCAGGCAUAAACGGAUAUUCCUUGUCA
rnacentral:lncRNA from 1 species